ACGGUUAUAAAUCAACUUAUUGAUUUAUAAGCAUGGAAAUCCCCUGAGUGAAACAACGAAUUGCUGUGUGUAGUCUUUGCCCAUCUCCCACGAUGGGCUUUUUUUUAA
rnacentral:other from 1 species